UGCCAGCCGCCGCGGUAAUACGGAGGGUGCAAGCGUUAAUCGGAAUUACUGGGCGUAAAGCGCGCGUAGGUGGUUUGUUAAGCGAGAUGUGAAAGCCCCGGGCUCAACCUGGGAACUGCAUUUCGAACUGGCAGGCUAGAGUAUGGUAGAGGUGAGUGGAAUUUCCUGUGUAGCGGUGAAAUGCGUAGAUAUAGGAAGGAACACCAGUGGCGAAGGCGACUCACUGGACCAAUACUGACACUGAGGUGCGAAAGCGUGGGGAGCAAACAGGAUUAGAUA
rnacentral:rRNA from 1 species